CCUACGGGAGGCAGCAGUGGGGAAUAUUGGACAAUGGGCGCAAGCCUGAUCCAGCAAUGCCGCGUGAGUGAUGAAGGCCUUAGGGUCGUAAAGCUCUUUUACCAGGGAUGAUAAUGACAGUACCUGGAGAAUAAGCUCCGGCUAACUCCGUGCCAGCAGCCGCGGUAAUACGGAGGGAGCUAGCGUUGUUCGGAAUUACUGGGCGUAAAGCGUACGUAGGCGGUUAUUCAAGUCAGAGGUGAAAGCCCGGGGCUCAACCCCGGAACGGCCUUUGAAACUAGGUAGCUAGAAUCUUGGAGAGGUCAGUGGAAUUCCGAGUGUAGAGGUGAAAUUCGUAGAUAUUCGGAAGAACACCAGUGGCGAAGGCGACUGACUGGACAAGUAUUGACGCUGAGGUACGAAAGCGUGGGGAGCAAACAGGAUUAGAUACCCUGGUAGUCCACGCCGUAAACGAUGAUAACUAGCUGUCCGGGCACUUGGUGCCUGGGUGGCGCGNGCUACGCAUUAAGUUAUACCGUCCGUCGGGUAGGUACGGUCGCGAGAAGUAAACGUAACGAAAGAAAGUAGACGGUCGUGAGACGUUGUCGAACGGACGACGACGAGGGAGGAGG
rnacentral:rRNA from 1 species